rnacentral:rRNA from 1 species
GACAGAGGUUGCAAACGUUGUUCGGAAUCACUGGGCAUAAAGAGCGCGCAGGCGGUCGUAUAAGUCGAAUGUGAAAGCCCCCGGCUCAACUGGGGAGGGUCAUUCGAUACUGUUCGACUCGAAGGCAGGAGAGGGAAGUGGAAUUCCGGGUGUAGUGGUGAAAUGCGUAGAUAUCCGGAGGAACACCAGUGGCGAAGGCGACUUUCUGGCCUGUUCUUGACGCUGAGGCGCGAAAGCUAGGGGAGCAAACGGG